rnacentral:rRNA from 1 species
UACGGGGGGGACAAGCGUUGUUCGGAUUUACUGGGCGUAAAGGGCGCGUAGGCGGACCGUCAAGUCGGGUGUGAAAACCGGUGGCUCAACUGCCGGCCUGCAUUCGAUACUGUCGGUCUUGAGUACAGGAGAGGAAAGUGGAAUUCCAGGUGUAGCGGUGAAAUGCGUAGAUAUCUGGAAGAACACCAGUAGCGAAGGCGGCUUUCUGGCCUGAUACUGACGCUAAAGCGCGAAGGCUAGGGGAGCAAACACG